GACAGAGGUGCCGAGCGUUAGGCGGAAUCACUGGGCUUAAAGCGUGUGUAGGCGGACUUCUAAGUACCUUGUGAAAUCCCACGGCUCACCCGUGGAACCGCUGGGUAUACUGGGCGUCUUGGGCCAUUCAGGGGCAACUGGAACAAGCGGUGGAGCGGUGAAAUGCGUAGAUAUGCGGAGGAACACCGAUGGCGAAGGCAAUCCCCUGGGCCUGCACUGACGCUCAUGCACGAAAGCGUGGGGAGCAAACAGG
rnacentral:rRNA from 1 species